UGUAAAUAGCCAGUGAGAAGCCAAAAGAGAUAAAACCCGCUCAUACCCCUCUCCAGAGACGAGAGAGGGAAGAAAGCAAGCAAGAAGAAAAUGCAGCUCCUUCCUCUCCAAAACCCUAAUUCCCGUCCAUUCCUCCCUGGAACCUCAUUCAGGAACCGCUCCUCUCCAAACACGUCUCUCAAAUCUCCAAAGAAGCUCUCCCUAAAAUGCCGCCGUUCCGAGUUCUUCCAGCAGCAGAACUUCACCCGACCUUCCGAAUCUUCCUUCUCACCGCAGUCUCCUGCAGCUUUGCCGCCAAGGGUUUAUGUCGGUCAUUCCAUAUACAAAGGGAAGGCAGCUCUCACAAUAGAACCCAAAGCGCCUGAAUUCGUUCCUUUAGAUUCGGGAGCGAUUAAACUUGCAAAGGAGGGUUUUGUCCUCCUUCAGUUUGCCCCUGCAGUUGGUACAAGACAAUAUGAUUGGAACCGGAAACAGGUUUUCUCACUAUCAGUCACAGAGAUUGGAACUAUAAUGAGCCUUGGUGCAAAGGAUUCAUGUGAAUUUUUUCAUGAUCCAUUUAAAGGAAAAAGUGAAGAAGGCAAGAUAAGGAAGAUUUUGAAAGCAGAGCCCCUUCCAGAUGGCUCUGGCCACUUCUUUAACCUCAGUAAUUCUUUUUCCUCAACUUGUAUGGUGUUCAAAACAGGCUCUUGAAUGUGGAUGAAAGCAUUUAUAUCCCUGUUACGAAAGCAGAGUAUACAGUUCUCAUCUCUGCUUUUAAUUUCAUCCUGCCGUAUCUUUUGGGCUGGCAUGCUUUUGCAAAUUCUGUUAAGCCGGAGGACCCCAGCCGCUCCAACAGUGCCAAUCCAAGAUCUGGUGCAGACUUCGAGUGGGGCAGGUAGACAGAGAGAAUGAGAGGGAGGUAUGCAACCUGCCAUUGUGUAACUUGUUGCCUUUUGAGAAAUCCUCAAAAUUUCAGCAGUCAGUCAUCAGAAAUGAAAUUUGAAUUUUGGUUCCACCACUCUUCCACAAUGUCUGUAAGUUCUGUGGAUGAAGAAAAUAGAGUGGGGAAAAGGAGUUAUUGCCAUUGAUUAUUACCGACCACCUGGUGGACAGCAUGGACCUAACACGAGCAUGAAGCAUUGCCAUGUUUGGUGGUGUUUAGAUGGCCUACCAUAUGUACAUGGGCUUAAUGAGCCUCCUACAUAAUUAGCAUUGUGGUUUUUUGUUUUUUAGGGAGUCA